rnacentral:rRNA from 1 species
UAGAGUUUGAUCCUGGCUCAGAGCGAACGCUGGCGGUAUGCUUAACACAUGCAAGUCGAGCGAGAAAGUGGCUUCGGCCACGAGUACAGCGGCGGACGGGUGCGUAACACGUGGAUAAUCUGCCUUCAGGUCUGGGAUAACCCUGGGAAACUAGAGCUAAUACCGGAUAAGACCACAGGUUCCAUGGAACCAAGGGUAAAAGGCGGCCUUCGGGCUGUCUCCUGAAGAUGAGUCCGCGUCCCAUCAGGUUGUUGGUGAGGUAACGGCUCACCAAGCCGAAGACGGGUAGCCGACCUUAGCGGGUGAUCGGCCACACGGGGACUGAGACACGGCCCUGACUCCUACGGGAGGCAGCAGUGGGGAAUCUUGGGCAAUGGGCGAAAGCCUGACCCAGCAAUACCGCGUGAGGGAUGAAGGCCUUCGGGUCGUAAACCUCUGUCAGCAGGAACGAUGGGUCUCCGUGCUAAUACCACGGAGACUUGACGGUACCUGCAAAGGAAGCCCCGGCUAACUCCGUGCCAGCAGCCGCGGUAAUACGAGGGGGCAGCGUUGCUC